AAAAAUAUCGAAAAAUUUAAUUCGUAAACGUUCGAAAAAUAUAAAAAUAUAAAAAGACAUAAAAAAACCUCAAAAUAUUCCCGAAUUCACCAGUCACCUUAGAAUAUCGAUACGAAUAAAUUAUUAAAAUUUAGCAUUUUUUUGUGAUUGCCCAAAACAUAUCAAAAAAAUCUAAUUCAUAAACGUCUGAAAAAUAUAAAAAUCAGGAAAAAGACAUAAAAAUACCUCAAAAAAAUUCAUGAAUCGCACCAAGUCACCUAAGAUUAUUGAGACGAACAUAAUAUCAAAAUUUCACAUUUUUCCGUGACUGCCCGAGAAAUAUCAAAAAAUUUAAUUCGUAAAUGUUGAUAAAAUAUAAAAAUCAAGAAAAAUACAUAAAAAUAGCUCAAAAAAUUCCCGAA
rnacentral:lncRNA from 1 species